GAUGAACGCUGGCGGCGUGCCUAAUACAUGCAAGUCGAGCGAACAGACGAGGAGCUUGCUCCUCUGACGUUAGCGGCGGACGGGUGAGUAACACGUGGAUAACCUACCUAUAAGACUGGGAUAACUUCGGGAAACCGGAGCUAAUACCGGAUAAUAUAUUGAACCGCAUGGUUCAAUAGUGAAAGACGGUUUUGCUGUCACUUAUAGAUGGAUCCGCGCCGCAUUAGCUAGUUGGUAAGGUAACGGCUUACCAAGGCAACGAUGCGUAGCCGACCUGAGAGGGUGUUCGGCCACACUGGAACUGAGACACGGUCCAGACUCCUACGGGAGGCAGCAGUAGGGAAUCUUCCGCAAUGGGCGAAAGCCUGACGGAGCAACGCCGCGUGAGUGAUGAAGGUCUUCGGAUCGUAAAACUCUGUUAUUAGGGAAGAACAAAUGUGUAAGUAACUAUGCACGUCUUGACGGUACCUAUCAGAAAGCCACGGCUAACUACGUG
rnacentral:rRNA from 1 species